rnacentral:rRNA from 1 species
CCUAUGGGGUGCAGCAGGCGCGAAAACUUUACAAUGCGAGAAAUCGUGAUAAGGGAACCCCGAGUGCCCGUAAAUUCGGGCUGUCCGCCAGUGUAAAUAACUGGUGAAGAAAGGGCCGGGCAAGACCGGUGCCAGCCGCCGCGGUAAUACCGGCGGCUCGAGUGGUGGCCACUAUUACUGGGCUUAAAGCGUCCGUAGCUGGAUUGUUAAGUCUCUUGGGAAAUCCACCGGCUCAACCGAUGGGCGUUCAGGAGAAACUGGCAAUCUAGGGACCGGGAGAGGUGAGAGGUACUCCAGGGGUAGGAGUGAAAUCCUGUAAUCCUUGGGGGACCACCUGUGGCGAAGGCGUCUCACUAGAACGGCUCCGACAGUGAGGGACGAAAGCUGGGGGAGCAAACCGGAUUAGAUACCCCCGUAGUCC